GUCACUGACGAGUUUGAUCAUGGCUCAGGAUGAACGCUAGCGGCAGGCUUAAUACAUGCAAGUCAAGGGGGUAGCAAUACAACCGGCGCACGGGUGAGUAACGCGUACACAACAUGCCAUAUACUGGGGUAUAGCUUUGGGAAACUGAAGGUAAUCCCCCAUAGUAUUUCGGUUAGGCAUCUAACUGGAAUUAAAGUUUCGACGGUAUAUGAUUGGUGUGCGUUCCAUUAGCUAGUUGGUAGGGUAACGGCCUACCAAGGCGACGAUGGGUAGCUGGCGUGAGAGCGCGACCAGCCACACUGGAACUGAGACACGGUCCAGACUCCUACGGGAGGCAGCAGUAGGGAAUAUUGGACAAUGGGCGAAAGCCUGAUCCAGCCAUGCCGCGUGAUAGAUGAAGGCCCUCUGGGUUGUAAAUAUCUUUUAUCUGGGAAGAAACUCCUCUAUUCUUAGAGGCCUGACGGUACCAGAGGAAUAAGCACCGGCUAACUCCGUG
rnacentral:rRNA from 1 species